GACGAACGCUGGCGGCGUGCUUAACACAUGCAAGUCGAACGGGAUUUAGUAAACGGACGCCUCGGUGGAAGAUUACUAAUGAGAGUGGCGAACGGGUGAGUAACGCGUGAGCAACCUGCCUAUGACAGUGGGAUAGCCUCGGGAAACCGGGAUUAAUACCGCAUAAAAUCGUAGAAACACAUGUUUCAACGGUCAAAGAUUUAUCGGUCAUAGAUGGGCUCGCGUCUGAUUAGCUAGUUGGUGAGAUAACAGCACACCCAGGCGACGAGCAGUAGCCGGUCUGAGAGGAUGAACGGUGACAUUGGGACUGAGACACGGUCCAAACUCCUACGGGAGGCAGCAGUGGGGAAUAUUGCACAAUGGGGGAAACCCUGAUGCAGCGACGCCGCGUUAACGGAGAAGGUAUUGGUAUCGUAAAGUUCUGUCCUAUGGGAAGAUAAUGACAGUACCAGAGAAGAAAGCUCCGGCUAACUACGUG
rnacentral:rRNA from 1 species